rnacentral:rRNA from 1 species
AUACGUAGGUGGCAAGCGUUGUCCGGAUUUACUGGGUGUAAAGGGCGUGUAGGCGGAGAUGCAAGUCAGGAGUGAAAUCUAGGGGCUCAACCCCUAAACUGCUUUUGAAACUGUAUCCCUUGAGUAUUGGAGAGGCAGGCGGAAUUCCUAGUGUAGCGGUGAAAUGCGUAGAUAUUAGGAGGAACACCAGUGGCGAAGGCGGCCUGCUGGACGACAACUGACGCUGAGGCGCGAAAGCGUUGGGAGCAAACAGGAUUAGAUACCCUGGUAGUCCACGCUGUAAACGAUGAAUACUAGGUGUGGGGGGACUGACCCCCUCCGUGCCGCAGUUAACACAAUAAGUAUUCCACCUGGGGAGUACGAUCGCAAGAUUGAAACUCAAAUGAAUUGACGGGG